AUAUCCUUGCAACAGAAAGAAAGUGGAGAGUAAAGUCAUUCUGUAAUCCAAAAUAUAUAUUCUAUUUCAUGCCAAAAUAUGGAUGUAAUCUGAGAGGUUCACAUUUUCUUGAAAGAGAAAGAAAGUGGCUGCUUUAGUUCUUGCUCAAGCAAAUUGUUUUCUAAUUGUUUGCUUUGGUUAGCAAAGCACAAAGAAGAAAAGCAUUGAUUCAUCCACCUCUUCAAAAAAUAUUUUUUGUUACACGUCAUGACUACAAGAUGUCAUAUCCCCAGAAAGCAAUGAUAUCAAUGCAGGAAUCUUACAAUUUCAAGGACUGAAGAGAGCUUUUGGUUCCACUAUGACUGGUGUAAAGAAGGAAAGCAAAUCCACUCCAAUUUUAUGGAAGACGGAAAGGCUUUGAAGACGAGAGGAAGGAAUUUAUCAUUGAAAAGACUAACCACCUUCCUGUUUGGUGGCGACUUGUGAAUCUACGGAAUUUUACACCUUCUAUUCUUCCUGACUGUGGCAAACACCCUUUACUUAGAAGACU
rnacentral:lncRNA from 1 species